rnacentral:lncRNA from 1 species
GAAAAAUACCAUCUGAACUUUUUUUUUCUCUCCACCAGUUCUAUUUCUCAAACUUCUUUUGAACACAAGCUGAAUCUAGAAUUUAACCAAUGUAUGGACAGCUCAAGGGGUAAGAAAUAGUGCAUUUUUGUUUAAUUUCAGAAAGGUGAGACAGCCUCUUCUUGGAACUACAUGCCCCCCGCUGGCUACAGAUCCCACCUGGUGCAGCACACGGCAUGACUCAACAGCAUUCCUGAUCCAUUCAUUGAUAAAUUCUUCAUGGACAUCACAGAAGAGAUCUAUUCCUUGUUCCAUAUAAAUUGUGCAAUUAUUCUUGUUCAUUCCUUCUUUACUGCCAUCUUCUGCCUUUGGGACCAACAGAGGAAUCUAAAGAGCUUCUAGGAUGUCAUUGCUGUGACGUGAUGUUGCCCUCUGCCGGUCAUGCAUGGAAAUGCUUCAUUUCAUUGAGUCAAAGGAGCACAGACAACUGCUUAUACGAGCCGAAGUCUAUGUUGAGUUCCCCCCAAAAUUAAAAGAACAACAAUUAUAAAACGCGUUUUUUUUUUUUUUUUUAAUUUCCUUGCCUUCUGGUUUAUAAGUAAGUUUUCUGAGGUACUUCUCUAUUAAAAAAAAAAAUCCCUCUAAUUUUCAUGGCAAAAGACCUUGUACUUACGGAGAUCAGACCGCUUGUUUUGAAGAGCUGGGUUUGAUAAAGAAAAUUGAAUCCUGAGACCUGCAUUAAAACUGAAAAAAGAAAAAAAGAAGACAACAUCAUCCUCA